GAACACCAGCAAGGAGGACACAAAACAGAAAGGGGCAUGUUUCUUUGACACGUCUCUGGGACAUCUAUAACUUGAAAACACAGUAUAUGAACAAGACCUGUUGUGAGAAAUAAAAUGGGAAUGAUGGUCAGAGGGGACCCCAAGAAAAGGAUCUGUCUUUAAAGAUGUGGGGUCAGAACCAGUUGCCAACCAGUAACAGAGCCUUUGCUUAUUAGUACCAGUUCACACUCUGAGUAGCCUGGAGUUAGCAGAUGCCCUCUCUGCUGGAGCCUUUGGACGUCUCUGGGCUCACAGUUAGAGAUCUAAGGCACUUGGUUCUCUUCUGCUCCAAAUGCACAUCUUCCAGAGGACCUAUUACAAUACUGUAUCCUGUGCUCUUGAUUGGAUGAAACCAUCAAUAGAGUGUGAUUUUUGACCCCCCCCCAAUAAACCUGCUCCUCUGACUCUGA